rnacentral:rRNA from 1 species
AUUGAACGCUGGCGGCAGGCCUAACACAUGCAAGUCGAACGGUAACAGGAAGCAGCUUGCUGCUUUGCUGACGAGUGGCGGACGGGUGAGUAAUGUCUGGGAAACUGCCCGAUGGAGGGGGAUAACUACUGGAAACGGUAGCUAAUACCGCAUAACGUCGCAAGACCAAAGAGGGGGACCUUAGGGCCUCUUGCCAUCGGAUGUGCCCAGAUGGGAUUAGCUAGUAGGUGGGGUAACGGCUCACCUAGGCGACGAUCCCUAGCUGGUCUGAGAGGAUGACCGGCCACACUGGAACUGGAGCACGGUCCAGACUCCUACGGGAGGCAGCAGUGGGGAAUAUUGCACAAUGGGCGCAAGCCUGAUGCAGCCAUGCCGCGUGUAUGAAGAAGGCCUUCGGGUUGUAAAGUACUUUCAGCGGGGAGGAAGGGAGUAAAGUUAAUACCUUUGCUCAUUGACGUUACCCGCAGAAGAAGCACCGGCUAACUCCGUG